rnacentral:sRNA from 1 species
UCUUCCUGCCGUGUGACUGGCGUUUCCUCCCUAAACUUCGGGCCGUGCCUCCUGGCGCGGCCCUUUCUUUUUGUCGCU